UGGGGAAUAUUGCACAAUGGGCGCAAGCCUGAUGCAGCCAUGCCGCGUGUGUGAAGAAGGCCUUCGGGUUGUAAAGCACUUUCAGCGGGGAGGAAGGCGUUAAGGUUAAUAACCUUGGCGAUUGACGUUACCCGCAGAAGAAGCACCGGCUAACUCCGUGCCAGCAGCCGCGGUAAUACGGAGGGUGCAAGAGUUAAUCGGAAUUACUGGGCGUAAAGCGCACGCAGGCGGUUGAUUGAGUCAGAUGUGAAAUCACCGGGCUUAACCCGGGAAUUGCAUCGGAUACUGAUCAUCAAGAGUCUUGUAGAGGGGGGUAGAAGUACAUGUGUAGCGGUGAUAUACGUACAGAUAUGGAGAAAUACCGGUGUCGAGUGCGACCCCCUGGACAAAAACUGACGCUCAGGUGCGAAAGCGUGGGGAGCAAACAGG
rnacentral:rRNA from 1 species